AGAUUAAACUGAAGAGUUUGAUCCUGGCUCAGAUUGAACGCUGGCGGCAUGCCUUACACAUGCAAGUCGAACGGCAGCGCGGGCUUCGGCCUGGCGGCGAGUGGCGGACGGGUGAGUAAUGCAUCGGAACGUGCCCACGAGUGGGGGAUAACGUAGCGAAAGUUACGCUAAUACCGCAUACGUACUGAGGUAGAAAGCGGGGGAUCGAAAGACCUCGCGCUCAUGGAGCGGCCGAUGUCGGAUUAGCUAGUUGGUGGGGUAAAAGCUCACCAAGGCGACGAUCCGUAGCUGGUCUGAGAGGACGACCAGCCACACUGGGACUGAGACACGGCCCAGACUCCUACGGGAGGCAGCAGUGGGGAAUCUUGGACAAUGGGGGAAACCCUGAUCCAGCAAUGCCGCGUGUGGGAUGAAGGCCCUCGGGUUGUAAACCACUUUUGGCAGGAAAGAAAUCGCCUGUGCUAAUACCAUGGGUGGAUGACGGUACCUGCAGAAUAAGCACCGGCUAACUACGUGCCAGCAGCCGCGGUAAUACGUAGGGUGCGAGCGUUAAUCGGAAUUACUGGGCGUAAAGCGUGCGCAGGCGGUU
rnacentral:rRNA from 1 species